GCCCUGGUGGUACAAUGGUUAAUGGCUCAGCUGCUAACUGGGAGAUUGGUGGUUUGAACCCACCCCGUGGCU
rnacentral:tRNA from 1 species